UACAGAGGUCUCAACCGUUGUUCGGAUUCAUUGGGCGUAAAGGGUGCGUAGGCGGUCGUGCAAGUCGGAUGUGAAAUCUCAGGGCUCAACCCUGAAACUGCAUUCGAUACUGCGCGGCUAGAGUGCUGGAGGGGAGACUGGAAUUUACGGUGUAGCAGUGAAAUGCGUAGAUAUCGUAAGGAACACCGGUGGCGAAGGCGGGUCUCUGGGCCGAUACUGACGCUGAGGAGCGAAAGCGUGGGGAGCGAACAGG
rnacentral:rRNA from 1 species